CUUGAGUAUUGUGGUGUAAUAUAAAAACAGAAGCAUGGUAUUUUUUUACACCCAAAAACAUGACUUGUAAAACUCUUUUUAGUUUUGCGAGGGCCAAAACGGCUAGAUCAGACGCAAUACUGCAUGAGAGCAAUGCCGGUUUGAUUUGUUGAUGUUUUAGGCUUUUAUUUAUUUAGUUUCAGUUAGCGGUGUGAAACUGUCUGGUGUUAUGCGUUCAGACUGAAUCGGGUCCUCAGGAAGCGUUUGAGCUGCGGCGUCUCUCCGAGAGCAGAAGCACACCAGGUGUCCCUGCAAUUAGCUGCUGUGAGAUUGAUGAGAUCUGGCUGGGCUGAUGGAAUCACUCUUAUUACAUUACAUCUGGACCGAUGUCCAUUUAUUUAUGAAGCACCGGCGGAGCAGGUGACUGCGCCGUGAUGGAAAUGAUGAGGUUUAUGGUAGCGUGGCCCUCGUUUGAACUGUGACAGGUAAACAAACUAAUUGAUUUCAGAGGCCCCACGGAAACAGGAGCUGCCACAUUUCCCACUUUUCUGUUUGCCGAACAGACGAAGCUGUCAUCCGCAGCGGCGAGAACACGUCAAACGCGGAGCCGGUAAUUUGUGCUGAUGAAUGACAAGCCGAGACUCUUGUUAGGUAGACGGCACGCUCAUUAGAAAACACAUUUUCAGAUGUCAGCGUGCCCCUGUCUUCCAUUUUCCUCCGUUCUUUGGAUGGAGGAAAGGACGAAAUAAACGCUGCUUGAAUAUUGCGAUGUCAUAGAAUCAAGCAGAAGGAACUCAAACCUCAAUUGACACGUCUGGUGUAUCCGAGCGUGUUUUGAACGCUGACAGCCAUCUGCGAGGGGUUCCUUUCACUCCUGCUAAUGAGCGCCAUGUCACCGCGGCCCGAUCUCCUCUGGACCAUCCCGGGAGACACGUUACAGCUGUCGGGGCCCCUCGGCUCGAUCCUGCGGCUCGCAGCGAAGAGCCUCAAACGACAUCGACUUCCGCCGCCAGAGAAAACACAAAGCCUCCGCUGACUCGCUUUCAUGAGCGUGUUUGUGCACAUGAAGGGUUUGUCAGAAUGAGUUGAAAUGUAAACUAGCGUGUGAACGCUGCUUCCUUACCUGCUGUGCUCUGUGGGCUUGUGCUGCAUUCCCAGGCUGCGUGUUGCUGACGGCGCUCCUGAUGCUGCUGCGUUCUUCUCCAGGAGGAUUAGACACUUCCUGAAUUACAUGUUGUCGGCCAUGAGAAGGGUUGUUUGCAUCUGAAUACUCUCAUGUUCAGAACGAGCAAUAAGAUGGGAGACUUUAUCAGAACUGCCCACUAAUUAACAGAAAUCACAAUAACUAUUGCAUAGAGGGAUCUCGUUAAAUCGAAAAGCAGAGUGAUCAGGGUGGCAAAGUGCUAAUUAAGCUUUGAAUUGGGGGAGGGGGGGCUGCAUCAACAGAGCACAGGGAUGAUCCUCCACUGUCUGUUUACAUCGCUGCAGUGCAUUCUGGGAAGUCACCCCACAACCUGGGGCAGGCGUACUGUUCUGCUGCUCCGGGGAAAAAAAAGUCUGAGAGAUUUGAGAAGAAUAAGAGAACAAUUGACUGAAACAAAAAGAAAUGUAUGAGAAGGUGGAGGGGCAGAGGAUCAGACAGACGGGAGGAACCAAGACUCAUUUACACAGAUGAACAUGUGGACGAAAGUCAGUUCGUCAGAUAUGGAGAACUGUCCCUUGUCUCGGCUCACAGAUCAGAGGCUUCUGUUCUGGCCUGCAUCAACUUUUCCUGCAUUAAAACUCUCGGGUCUGAAAGAACUUUCCAAAGCCUUCUGAUGGCAUUCAGCAUUCGCCACGGGGGAAAAUAACAAGCUGGUUGCUCACUUUGUGACCUGCUGGAUGAGGUGGUUCCAGGUGCACCUGUCGUAGGCCUACUCUUCCUCCAGGCUGGGAACAUUGCCCCCUUGUAGUGCCUGAACUUCGGCUGAGUCGGGUGGCAGCCUCCCAUUUGUUAAAUGCUACAUGAGGUGACUGGAGCUUCUCUGCCCGUCGCUGAGAGGACAGAUGGAGAGGGCACGGAAUGUUCUGGAGAGCCGAUGGUAAUUACAAGCCAGUAGCAGAGCCGAUGGCUUCCGCAGGGAACAGGCCUGAGCGGAAGCGCUCGAGUGGCGUGGGGGGUUGUUUGCCCUUUGGCUGCUCAGCAUGCUGUUGCUCUGCGCGGUGAGCUCGUGUUGGGACUGCCGUCACUGCACAUUUCUCCGCUCUUCAUGUCAGGUGAGGUGUGUGUGGGAACAUGGUGACAUUUGUGAGCUUUUGUCAUUCACAAGGAGUUUAACUCUUCAGAUGUGUUUCCAGUUCUAUUCGUUUCAGUAGAUAACUGAUGGAAGUCGCAGAUGUGUACAAAAGAAUUUUAUGGAUCAGUCCACCCAAAAAUAAAAUAAUUAUCAUCAUUUACUCAUGUCGUGAUCAAAAGUGAUAUUUACAGUGAGUUUUCUUCAUACAUCAUAUCUCUCAUUUUAUAUUCUCUGACACUUGUCUCCUUGGUAACCAAGUACACUAACUUUUAAAAACUUACAGUAUUUAAUGACAUUAUUGUUGUUUGUGUACACCAAUUGUAUAUAAAUCAUAAAUUUGUUGAUUAUUUUUAUUUCACUUUUUUUCCACUCAAUUCUGAUACUUAAUUCUGAUUUUUUUUUAUGGAUUUAUUAUAGUUUAAUAUAAGGCUACAACAAUAAAAUCACAUUUAAUCAUUUAAUAAUAUUUCUAUUCAUUGGAUUUUAUAAUUCAUAAUUGUAACCUUGUACUUCACAACUGCAACCUUUUUCACGUCAUAUAUUAAGCUUUCUCACAAUAACUAAUAUUUCUUAAAAUUGUGACUUUAUAUCUCAUAACUCUGUCUUUUUCCCAUAUUUUAAAAGUUUUAUAUUUCAUUUCUUUUAAUAAUAUAAAAUAGAUUUGAAAUGUAGCAACAAUGAAUGAGGGCAUACUAAAAUAUUUCAGUGCCUUGUAAACUUUUUAUCAUGAAUCCAUCAUUACUACCCAUGUAUACAUUUUUAUUUGUCAGUUUUAUUAUUUUACCCUUGUCCCUGACUUUCAGUCUUAACUAUAACAAGCCAUUAUAAAAAUAUGAAUUAAUAAAUAUUUAAAACUAUGAUGUGAACAAAGAGUUAAAUAAAAAUAAUCCAUUUUGAUGUUUAUUGUGUAAAAAUUACUUUAUGAUUUUUUUUUUACACAAAUUAUGACUGUACCUCAUUUGUGGUGCCCACAAACAAGUUAUUUUGUAGUUACUGUACUUGGUUACAAUAGAGACAAAAUUGUUUCAAUGUAACCUUUAUAAAAAGGGGGCAUUAAAUCUGUUAGUUUUAAUAAAACCAAACCUUAAGAUAUAAAAAGUGCAAGAAGUUGGAGAAACACCCUUAUAUCUUUUCACAUCUGAUCAGUCAUCUGCUCAACAUCUCAAGAGCGUCCUGUCUGCAGGUGAUUAAUUACUUUGUCAGCCGUCAGUCUCAGAAAAUGAGAGGUGAGGGGGAAAAAAGAAGAAAAGGGAGGAGUAUGAGGGAAAGUGAGCGGGCACAGCUUUGCAGGAUGCUGAAAUGUAGCUCUGCAAUCCCCAUAGGGCUCAUAUUAAUGAGGGUGCAGAGAAAGUUAACAACUCACAUUAAGCACUAAUGCAUUCUUUAAUUAAUUAAGUGCUCAUUUAUAAAUAUCCAACACAUCCUGUACACGUUCAAUCUGACUUAACAAUAACAUAUUAACGAUUCCUGUUCCAGGCAUAACAUAUUUAAAUGUCAUUGAUACUCCAACAGCUAGAUAAACAUACUCUGAAACUCUAUUAACAGCAUUAGGUGAUGUCUGGAGCAGCACGAAUUCCCCUGCAAUUCUCUCAUAAUUACAAAUUAAUUUCACAUUUAAUGUAUGAACACAGCCAUGGUGAAAUUUAGUUAAUUAGUUGAUUAAAAUGCAUAGUUCAAAGUAAAAACUGAGCAAUUUUGAGCCAUUUAGUGAAUCAUUUUGUAGUUAUUGGACAGCUUUAACACUCUUCCUUUUCAUUAUUUUAUAAGCAGGUUCUUAGACCUGGAUGAUGCAGUUAAGACUCAAAUGUGUGCAAUACUAUAGAAAAUGCCUUUAUUAUCAUUACUGUUUGAUAAAGCGGCCACAUUCAGCUCAGACAGAACUGCCAGCGCAAAUGUAAGUAACCUAUCACACACACACACACACACACACACACACACUGAGCUUUGAGGUGAGUGUUAAUCUCUGAGGUGUGUUAGGAAAGCACAGAAGGAAGGAGAUAUCAAAUAAAGCUCAUGUAAAAAUAUUCUAGAGAAAUGAUUUACUAAAAAGCAUCCUAGUAAAAUUUAGAUAAGUAAAAACUCCAUGUGCCAUUCCAGUUUUAGCCCAAUACGAUGGGUUUCAUGAGAAGGAUAACAUGAUAAAGACGUGUUUGAACAUAUAAUCUCUGAGGAAAGAUUCCUCUGGGUUAAAUUCAAAAGAAUCACUUUAUGCACAUCGUUUUUCUCAGCAAAAGCAGGAAUACAUCUCUCACAUAGCUCUCUCAUACCUUAAUACUGAGACAAAGAAACACAUACAAGCUGCUAAAAAUAAACUGGCAUGCAUAGUCAGAAUGUUGACAAUAAAACCAAAAAAACACCCCUCAGGAUGUUAACAAUCCCGACACUCGAAAAUAAAAGCAACCCUGUUAAUAAAACGCUUCGUUUCCAGACAAAAUGCUUAACAGCCGUCUCUCAGAGUCGGUUUCAACAUGUUUGAAAUCAAUCAGAAUAUUUAAACCCGUGGAAGCAGACAAUCUGUGUAGAGCUGCGCACCUCCUCAUUGGAGAGGAACUUCACUUUUGGCACAGUGUGUUUCAUUUUUCAUGAAGCUGCACCUCCUUGUUCCCUGCAGGCGUCUCCUCGGUGUUCUUGCUGAAUGUGUGUGUGCUGAACAAAAGCCUUGGUUGUUUACGUCAAGGUAUCUCCUUGCGGUUGGGUGAUGAAGAGCAGGUGGCCUCAUUUGCAGAGAGCACUUCCUCAGAAGCAGCACCUUCACUGCCUCCUCUUCCUCCACGUGGCUGUCGGGCAGGCGAGGGCGAUUGCGUUCCCCUCCCGCGCCGUGCCGCCUGUCCGCCUGUGGGACCUGCUCCGUGGGCUUUUCAUCAGCUGCCAUUUUCACCAGCAUGCAGGAACUCGCAGGACAAGGAUAAUAACCAUUCCUGUUAAUUGUGGUUUGGUGAAGAAACAAGGCCUGUCGCUCUGCAGUCUGAUCUACCCGGCUGUCCCAAUCCAGUCCAAACAGGGAGAAUGAACAGAGAAUCGGAUCGAGAAUCAGAGAAAACUGUGUACAAGACUCUUUGAAGGGAGUGGAUAGGACGAAAUGCUGUUGAGGGACUGACAUUGAGAAACAUUUCUGGAUGGCAUGAAGGUUGAUGUGGCUGGCCUCCAAAAUCAUCGUGCCUGAGACCACACAGAUGGGGAUGAGAUAAAACUUCUGGGCGGGGCUAGUGAGCCACCUGUGGCAGUGACAUCAGCACGGCAGAGAUCAGGGGCCCUGUGGUCUCCAUCCCCCACAUCCACCUCGUGUCCUUUUAUCUGUGAUCAUGUAUCACCUGCAGCUACACGUCCAGCUGGAGGAGACAGAUUUCAUCUGUCAUCUGUGAGUGGAUCUCAAUACCCAGAACUAAGUCUGUCCAGAAGUCCAUGUCCAGCGGCCGGCCUGCCAGAGCUAAUCUCACAGAUGAAGCGUCUCCUUUUCUGCUCAGUCAUGUACCUGUGCGGGAGGGGGAAAGAGACGAGGAGGCCUCACGAUCAAAUUAAUCUCCUAUUAGAACAUGCAUCUGGGGUUAAAGUGUUGCGCAGAGAAGAAAGACAUGGAGAAGAAACCACAACCAAACUUCAUCAGUUCUCGCAUAUAUCGCCAACAUGCCAGCUCAAGACAGCAAAACACAAACCGAAGACGAGCUUCAAAAUGGAGGGACUGAAAAGAGGAAAGGAUGAGUGCAGAGAAAACAAAGAAACGGAGGAAGAAGGGAAGAAAAAGGCAGAGAGAAGAAGCGGCGGCAUGAUCUCCAUGCCACUGAUUUCCCCUGCGAUGAGAACAGCAUCAUGUUAAUUAUUUCAACCAUCUGCUGCAGCCCGUGAUGGAGGCGCCCUCCACCUCACACAGAUUUGUACCUGUCAGUCAAAUUGCGGGACCAACACGAGGCGCUGUGGCGGCGAGAAUAAGAUCCAACGCAUGCCAAGGUCCUGAGGGAUUGAGCUGUGGUGUGAAAUUAAUCUGGAGUUCACAAUUUAGCUGGACUCUCUGAAUUUAUGCUCAAAGAAGCCUCAACAUCUGGCUAUUUUUGGAGUGUUUUGGCAUGAGAAGUGCCAAAAGCAGAACUUUAGGAAUUUCUGCAGCUCCUUUUGACUGAAUGAGAUGUCUCAUGAUAGACCUUUCUGUACAGUAUGUAUCAUGAAACAUCACAGAAUUCUUUGAAUUCUUUGUUAAAACCAAACCAUGUUUCUGCUGUUGUUUUCUCCCCCACCAAAAAUGAUGACACUUUUAUAAGAUCUUAUAAAUUUCAUUAACUUUCUGCUGUUUUUUUUU
ensembl:lncRNA